rnacentral:rRNA from 1 species
AGAGUUUGAUCCUGGCUCAGAAUGAACGUUGGCGGCGUGGAUUAGGCAUGCAAGUCGAACGAGCCUCUGGGGGGUAACUCCUAGAGGAAAGUGGCGAAAGGGGCAGUAAUGUAUGGGUAACCUACCUUGAGGUCUGGGAUAGCUAUUCUAACGGAUAGGUAAUACCGGACGGCCUGAGUUGUCGGCAUCGAUGAUUUAGUAAAGGUUACGCCUCGAGAGGGGCCCAUAUGAUAUUAGCUAGUUGGUGAGGUAAUGGCUCACCAAGGCAAAGAUGUCUAGCGGGUGUGAGAGCACGACCCGCGUCACCGGCACUGAGACACUGGCCAGACUCCUACGGGAGGCUGCAGUCGAGGAUCUUCGGCAAUGGACGCAAGUCUGACCGAGCAACGCCGCGUGUGCGAUGAAGGCCUUCGGGUUGUAAAGCACUGUCGAGGGGAAACAAGCCGUAAGGUUGAGUGACCCCUGGAGGAAGCACGGGCUAAGUUCGUGCCAGCAGCCGCGGUAAGACGAACCGUGCAAACGUUAUUCGGAAUCACUGGGCUUAAAGGGCGCGUAGGCGGGUAAUCAAGUCAAUGGUGAAAGCCUCCAGCUUAACUGGAGAAGUGCCUUUGAUACUGAUUGUCUAGAGUGAGGUAGGGGCAUGUGGAACUUCCGGUGGAGCGGUGAAAUGCGUAGAUAUCGGAAGGAACGCCAGUGGCGAAAGCGAUGUGCUGGACCUUUUCUGACGCUGAGGCGCGAAAGCUAGGGGAUCAAACGGGAUUAGAUACCCUGGUAGUCC